UACGGAGGGUGCAAGCGUUAUCCGGAUUUACUGGGCUUAAAGGGUGCGCAGGCGGAUAUGUAAGUCAGUGGUGAAAUCUCCGGGCUUAACCCGGAAACUGCCGUUGAUACUAUAUAUCUUGAAUGCUGUGGAGGUAAGCAGAAUAUGUCAUGUAGCGGUGAAAUGCUUAGAGAUGACAUAGAAUACCUAUUGCGAAGGCAGCUUACUAUGGUUUAAUUGACGCUGAGGCACGAAAGCGUGGGGAUCAAACAGG
rnacentral:rRNA from 1 species